rnacentral:rRNA from 1 species
UGGGGAAUAUUGGACAAUGGGCGAAAGCCUGAUCCAGCCAUGCCGCGUGUGUGAAGAAGGUCUUCGGAUUGUAAAGCACUUUAAGUUGGGAGGAAGGGCAGUAAGCGAAUACCUUGCUGUUUUGACGUUACCGACAGAAUAAGCACCGGCUAACUCUGUGCCAGCAGCCGCGGUAAUACAGAGGGUGCAAGCGUUAAUCGGAAUUACUGGGCGUAAGCGCGCGUAGGUGGUUCGUUAAGUUGAAUGUGAAAGCCCCGGGCUCAACCUGGGAACUGCAUCCAAAACUGGCGAGCUAGAGUAGGGCAGAGGGUGGUGGAAUUUCCUGUGUAGCGGUGAAAUGCGUAGAUAUAGGAAGGAACACCAGUGGCGAAGGCGACCACCUGGGCUCAUACUGACACUGAGGUGCGAAAGCGUGGGGAGCAAACAGG